UCUUGCUCGCAAUGGCACGGAUUGCAGCUUGGAAAUGUGCUGUGGCCGCAGCCGUGUGUCUAUCUUUCGUUGAAGGCGCUUUAAGUAGCGAAGAAUAUUUAUUUUGGAAAAUGGUAAAUGACCUACCUCACACAGCCAUUGUGUAUGACUCCACGUACGAUUCGUCCCUGAUGUGCGCGACUGCUCUCAGAGUCGCCUUGAACAUGUCGGCAGAGACAUCAACAUAUAUGGUGCACUUGAAAGGCCUCGACGGGACCCAAGAAUGUAAGCAAUCCGCUUGUUAUAGUGCUUCGUUACACUGACUACAGGACCUGCUUUGUUGGCGUAAUUCCUUCUGACGACACAGAACGUAAGACCUUCCACCAUUUUUGAUCUGCCUGUGGCUCGACAGCUUG
rnacentral:lncRNA from 1 species